GAAUGAAAGGGCCUACGAUUUAUCUACUGUAUCUAAUCGACACCAAUAAACUAGCUAAAUAUGUAAAAACCCAAUUAAUUUGCAGCAGGACGACAAGACCCUACUGAACUUAACUCAUUAGUUAAACUGGGGCGGUAAAAACCUAAAUCUUUUUUAAACCUAUUAAUAUAAGCUUUCAAAAGAAAUUAAAACAAGUUACCAUAGGGAUAACAGCAUAAUAGUUUACAAAAGUCCUUAUAAAAUAAACUGAUUAUGACCUCGAUGUUGAAUUA
rnacentral:rRNA from 1 species